CACCAGUUAAGCGUAACACCAGAGCUGAUCACACGCACAUUUUUUGUCCUGUCUUUAUUCUGCCAUUCAACAGAAGUAUUCAAUACCAAAAAAUAUGAGUGACAGAGAACCUCUCAUUUCAGUAGAAGAUGACAAUUAUUCAUCUGGUAAGUAAUUUAUGUGUAAAUCUAAAUGUAAAUAGCAGCAAAAAAGAUUUUACCUAUAUUUACAGUUUCAUUCCUGUUCAUGUUUUUCUUUCUUUGUCUCCCAACUUCUUGCAACAUUCAGAUCUA